rnacentral:rRNA from 1 species
GAACGCUAGCUACAGGCUUAACACAUGCAAGUCGAGGGGCAGCAUGGUCUUAGCUUGCUAAGGCCGAUGGCGACCGGCGCACGGGUGAGUAACACGUAUCCAACCUGCCGUCUACUCUUGGACAGCCUUCUGAAAGGAAGAUUAAUACAAGAUGGCAUCAUGAGUCCGCAUGUUCACAUGAUUAAAGGUAUUCCGGUAGACGAUGGGGAUGCGUUCCAUUAGAUAGUAGGCGGGGUAACGGCCCACCUAGUCUUCGAUGGAUAGGGGUUCUGAGAGGAAGGUCCCCCACAUUGGAACUGAGACACGGUCCAAACUCCUACGGGAGGCAGCAGUGAGGAAUAUUGGUCAAUGGGCGAGAGCCUGAACCAGCCAAGUAGCGUGAAGGAUGACUGCCCUAUGGGUUGUAAACUUCUUUUAUAAAGGAAUAAAGUCGGGUAUGGAUACCCGUUUGCAUGUACUUUAUGAAUAAGGAUCGGCUAACUCCGUGCCAGCAGCCGCGGUAAUACGGAGGAUCCGAGCGUUAUCCGGAUUUAUUGGGUUUAAAGGGAGCGUAGAUGGAUGUUUAAGUCAGUUGUGAAAGUUUGCGGCUCAACCGUAAAAUUGCAGUUGAUACUGGAUAUCUUGAGUGCAGUUGAGGCAGGCGGAAUUCGUGGUGUAGCGGUGAAAUGCUUAGAUAUCACGAAGAACUCCGAUUGCGAAGGCAGCCUGCUAAGCUGCAACUGACAUUGAGGCUCGAAAGUGUGGGUAUCAAACAGGAUUAGAUACCCUGGUAGUCCACACGGUAAACGAUGAAUACUCGCUGUUUGCGAUAUACUGCAAGCGGCCAAGCGAAAGCGUUAAGUAUUCCACCUGGGGAGUACGCCGGCAACGGUGAAACUCAAAGGAAUUGACGGGGGCCCGCACAAGCGGAGGAACAUGUGGUUUAAUUCGAUGAUACGCGAGGAACCUUACCCGGGCUUAAAUUGCAGAUGAAUUACGGUGAAAGCCGUAAGCCGCAAGGCAUCUGUGAAGGUGCUGCAUAGUUGUCGUCAGCUCGUGCCGUGAGGUGUCGGCUUAAGUGCCAUAACGAGCGCAACCCUUGUUGUCAGUUACUAACAGGUUCCGCUGAGGACUCUGACAAGACUGCCAUCGUAAGAUGUGAGGAAGGUGGGGAUGACGUCAAAUCAGCACGGCCCUUACGUCCGGGGCUACACACGUGUUACAAUGGGGGGUACAGAGGGCCGCUACCACGCGAGUGGAUGCCAAUCCCCAAAACCUCUCUCAGUUCGGACUGGAGUCUGCAACCCGACUCCACGAAGCUGGAUUCGCUAGUAAUCGCGCAUCAGCCACGGCGCGGUGAAUACGUUCCCGGGCCUUGUACACACCGCCCGUCAAGCCAUGGGAGCCGGGGGUACCUGAAGUGCGUAACCGCGAGGAGCGCCCUAGGGUAAAACUGGUGACUGGGGC